rnacentral:misc_RNA from 1 species
AAAAAAAAAAAAAGAAAGAAGAAGAGGUGGACAAAUUCUGUGUAAAGGUAAAGAGAGCAGUCUUAUUUGAUAACAAACCAUUCAAUGAAAAUUGUUGCAAAGGCUCUCCACAUUUCAAAUAAGAAACCAUUUCUUUCCUACCAGCACCAUAUAAUGCAAUAAUUGGUUCCUACCUAUGCCACGCCUGAUCUUCUCAUCCCAUACAUUAAUGUCAAUUCUUGAUCAACUGUAUAACAGUAAUAGGUCCUCAAAGAGAACAACAAAGACAAUAAUUCCUUAACUAUUGUAUAGUGAAGCAAAAGAUAAUUGUUUCUCCAUCGAUUAUACAUGUAUAACAUGAAUAUACAAAUCUAUAAACCUUAUCCAUCAGAUUUUCCAUCAAGAGAAUCAUUCUGCAUAGUCAUCAAGUAUGCAAUGUCAAACAUUCUUCCAUGAAAAUAACUAUUGUUGGCAUCAUCAAAUACUUUGCAACAGAAUCCCAGAUGUCAUUUUCUUGUGUGUUCACAUAUACUAGAUUCUUUAACUUUUUUUUUUUUCAAUUUUUGAUGAAUGUGUGUAAAAACAUAAAUGUAAACAAAGGACAAAAGACCAUGGUUGCCCGAUAGCCAGUCUCCCUAUUGAUUUUCCAUAGCAUAUUCCUAAUAUGAUUAGAUCUACUAAAACAAACAAAAGGUGCAGUUGUUCCAUCCAACAUCUAGUGGCCUUCCAGAUUUGUGAUCAUACCAGUCCAUUUAGUUGCAUAAAAAACAACCAUUUUUUACUAAUACAUUGAGGAUUGACUUGACCACCUAUAUGGCCCUAACAUUUGAUGAGUUCCUUUCAUCUACUCAUAUUUUUCCCUCUUCCCCCUUUACUUUCUGGACAUGAACAGAAAAGAAAAAGAAGUAUAAAUAGCAAAGAUAAAAGAAAGAAGACGAUAAAGGAGCUACAAGGCAUUCAUAUCCCUCGAUAAAAGGCAAGUAGAUGCAAGGAGAGAGAAAAGAUAAAAGCUAUUACAAGUGCAUUUUCAAGCCUUUCCAGCUAAGAGAGAGCAAAUUGGAAAAAGAUGAUGAUUAUGAUGAAAAUGGAAAAAAGGAAAUAAGAGAAUUUUUGUUUCCUUUUUUACCAAUACAGAGUCUCCAUAGCAUUUACACGAAAAUAAGAAUAUCCCAGAUCAAAGCUUCCUAAUAUAAUAUAAUAAGGAGAUAAGAUGCAACCUAAGUAUUGGUAAAAAAUCUCCUGAAAUAAAAAGUUUGAUAGGAUUUAACCAAAUGCACCUCUUACCACAGUGGCCCAUAUAAAUGCAGUCUAUGCAGUCAAUCAGAUUUUACAUAUCUAAACUCAAAAUAAAUAUAUAAAUCUUGAAGGACAAAUAUUCUCAUCCCAUGAUGAAAAGAGAUUUUUCAUCAAGCUUCCAUCCUUGUAAGAGAUAUGACAUGGUAACAUGAUAGCAUAAAUUGUCACAAUCAUGUGAAUAGAGACUCAAACAAAAACUUGAACAAAUGGAUCCAGUGCCAAUUUGACCACAUAAUUUCCUUAAACAUAAAGAAAAUGGAGAAAGGAGAGAAUCAAGAUGAAAUUUUAAUGAAUUACAUAUGCAUCCAUAGGAGGUGAAAGUGGCACUCAUUAAAGAAAAGUAGAUAAAGGGGUGAAUGAAAUGGUUUGGACAUGUUAAUCGUAUACCAAUAAAUGCAACGGUACAGAAGAUUGAGCAUAUUGAAGUUGCAAAAGAGAAGAAAAUUGAAGGAAUUAGUGAUAAAAAGGAUGACAUAAGAUGAAGUGAUAGAAAAAGAUUUAGUAGCUCUAGACCUUUAUGGAGAUGUUAUCCUAAACUGGGAGGGAUGGAAAAAAAAGGACCCAUAUGGUAACCCAAAUUAGAUUAAGGCUUAGUUUAGUUGAAUACAUGUUCAUUAAACAUGAUCAACUCCUCCCUAUCUUCACUUUGCCAACACAUGGAGAGUGAUUUACAUAGAGAAAUCAUAUAGAUAAAACAGCAAGGAACGUUUGGACAAGUGGUGAAAAAGUAAGCACUUGCUCUUCAGAAAAAAGCAGUUGAGCUUGCAAAUGGGUAGAGUAAAUUGAACAGAUAAGUGAAAUCACCAGAACAAGACAGAAAGGUCAACAUCAGAAAUUGCAUAAUGCCUUAACAUAAUCCAGAUAUUUGAGCACACACAUGCACACACACACAUUGACACCAAUCAAUAUCCAGUAAUUAAAGUAAAGCAAGUGCAUGCAUAAGUUGAAAUGCUCACAGCAAUAAGACCACCAUUGCCAGGAAAACUCUCAGUCAAUGGAAGUUCCUCACUGGAUGGAAGCAAACCCUGCUUCUCAACCCACUGGCGAGCUACAUCAACAAGAUUGCCGCUGCUUCCUCUUGUACCCUCCUUUGCAGCAACAUCAGCUUUGUUCCCGAUGACGAUAAAAGGAACAGGAAGACCACCUGGACCCCCAGAACUGAGAGGAGCUGAAAAUGUCCCAGUUGCAGCAAUUUCAGAUGCCCAUUUCUGCAAGCUUGUUUUAGUUCUUCUCUGGGAGAGAUCAUGUACAAAAAUAACCCCAUUUAUCUGCGAGUAGAACAAAGACCGGCAAUCUUUAUAUCUGUCAUGCCCUGACACAUCCCAUAGUUCUACAAAGAAAUCUCUCUCUGCAUCACCUUUAAUGCUGCUUGAAGAGCUACCAGAAUUCAUGUAAGUAAUGUGCUUUACACCAACUGUACAUCCAACUGUCUGAGGAGGGCGAGCAACAGAAGAACCUUUGACAAUCAGAUGAACAAGAGAAGUUUUCCCGACACCUAACAAGGAUUAAGAUUAGAAAAGGAAGUCUGAUUCAAGAUGCAGAAAGAGGAACAUAAAGUACAAAAAAAAUGAGGGGGGAGUGGGAGGAUAAUCAAGUAUAAGUAACAAACAAAACUACAUGAAAUUAGAAUUAUUGUGAUAAAACUUGCAAAUCAUGAGUGUAGGAGAUGUUUGAGACUUACAAUCAACACUUCAAUUUAAGAUAAUUUAACAAGGUCAACCUAUUCAAGAAUUGAGGGCAUAAAGCAUUCUUGAAACAAAAGACUAGCCUUUAUUUUAACUCUAUAACCAAUGCUUGCUGUCCUUUAACCUUUUCAGAUAGAUUGACACAUUACAAAUCCUCAACCACAUGUGAUGUAAUAGGUGAUCCAGCCAAAACCCAAUAAAUCUUUAAAUCCACUACGGAAUAUUUACAUUGUCAAUAAUUACCAAGGCAGAUUCUGAACUUACAAAAGAAUCAUCAGCGAUAAGGCAUAAAAUUCCCACAAUUAUUUCACUAAUGGAAAUGCACUUCUAUCCCUAGAUGAAUCUCUAUACCACAUCAUAUACCAUUUCUCUUCCGCAUAAUUAUAUAAUUUGCGUAUUUGUCUCCAUGUUCCAUAUGUAUACACUUUGAAAGGCAGUUUUGAGAGGUAAUGGAAGGUUUUAAAAAUUUUAGGAAGCAUCUCUCCUUGUCUUGGAGAGCCACUGUAAUUGGAAUGGUAUAAUUUUGAGAGGGUUUCAUAACCUUCAAAAGCCCCCAAAACCCCAAUCUUAGGUUUGGCCUUGAAUGGGGAUACUAACCCAUCAUUUUCCAUCCCUCCCUCCAAACAAAAGACGGUUGCAUAGUUCAUUUCAUUUUCAUUUCCAUUCCCUUAGCUUACUUUAACACAUCUUAGAAUCAAAGAAAUAACAUGCCAGAAACAACAACAGGAAUCCAAAGCAAGCAAAAGAUCACAGAAGCAACCAAAAAUUGACCUGAAUCGCCAACAACAAGAACUCGAACCUGCCCGCAUGGCGGUCCACCGUUCUGGUUCUUGUUCUCCCUUUCACGAUCCCUCCAAAACAUUUUUUCUAUCUAGAACCCAGUAACCAAAACUCAACUUCUAAUCGAACCAGCAAAUACAAUUUCCAACGCAGUCACUUGCUUGUAACGAAUCAGGUCCCAUCAAGCAUACUCAAUCUAAUCGAGAAACAACAGAUUUUCCAAAAGGGUAUUCCAGAAGUAAAUCCAACACCCAUAUUACAUUAGAAUCGAAUCAAGAUCUAAGCUCACAUUGAAGAACCCAAAAGCGAAUAUGUUCUAACAGAACAAGUAAUGUUCCUAUAAAAUGCUUAAAGCCCAAUUACAAAAACAGAUCUGGUAACUAAUCUCCAGAUGGAUCUUUAUAAAAGACGAUAAUCAGAAGUGGGUUACUCUCGAAAUUCGUUCCAGAGCUCAGUACAUAAAGAAGAAGAGAUGUGGAAAUAGGGAGAUUACACACGAAUCUGUGACUUGAAAAUAAACAGGAAGUUAAACUUGAAGCUUCAAUAUUGUUUGGAAUAUUGGGGUUUUAGGGAGGAAGCGAUCCGAGAACAGAAAAAGGCGAAAACAAGAUAAAACGGUGCGCAAAAUAGAUUGGAUUUGGAUGGGUGAUGGGUUGGAUCUCAAGUUUCUGCCGCUGGGUGCGACCCCAAAAUCAAGGGAAAUUCACA